rnacentral:rRNA from 1 species
GGAUUACCUCAGUAACGGCGAGUGAAGCGGUAAAAGCUCAAAUUUGAAAUCUGGCUCUUUUAGAGUCCGAGUUGUAAUUUGUAGAAGAUGUUUCGGGUGUGGUUCCGGUCUAAGUUCCUUGGAACAGGACGUCAUAGAGGGUGAGAAUCCCGUAUGUGACUGGAUACCUAUGCUCAUGUGAAACUCUUUCGACGAGUCGAGUUGUUUGGGAAUGCAGCUCAAAAUGGGAGGUAUAUUUCUUCUAAAGCUAAAUAUUGGCCAGAGACCGAUAGCGCACAAGUAGAGUGAUCGAAAGAUGAAAAGCACUUUGGAAAGAGAGUUAAACAGUACGUGAAAUUGUUGAAAGGGAAGCGCUUGCAAUCAGACUUGCACUUGGUGUUCAUCAGGAAUUCGUUUCCUGUGUACUUCAUCAAGUUCAGGCCAGCAUCAGUUUGAGUGGUUAGAUAAAGGCUUAGAGAAUGUGGCUUCCUUCGGGGAGUGUUAUAGCUCUAGGUGCAAUGUAGCCUACUUGGACUGAGGACCGCGCUUCGGCUAGGAUGCUGGCGUAAUGGUUGUAAGCGACCCGUCUUGAAACACGGACCAAGGAGUGUACCUAAUAUGCGAGUGUUUGGGUGUUAAACCCAUACGCGUAAUGAAAGUGAACGCUGGUGAGAACCCUUAAGGGUGCAUCAUCGACCGAUCUUGAUGUCUUCGGAUGGAUUUGAGUAAGAGCAUAUUGGGUGCGACCCGAAAGAUGGUGAUCUAUACGUGAAUAGGGUGAAGCCAGAGGAAACUCUGGUGGAGGCUCGCAGCGGUUCUGACGUGCAAAUCGAUCGUCAAAUUUGCGUAUAGGGGCGAAAGACUAAUCGAACCAUUAAGGAAUAGACCAAGCUCUAGGUGGUUGAGAAACCCCCUUGGGGUAUUAGUCCUGGAGACAGGGCGACAUUGUCAAAUUGUUCGGGGACCACCCGCUAAAUUACAUACUACCGCAGCAGUGCUGAAAGGCCUGUGAGCACUAGAGGUAGCGCCUCUAGGGAUGGUAAUAACGUAUGUAUAGGGUAUAUCCGCAGCGAAGUUCUAAGGCCUAACGGCUACGAAUCGCGUUCACAGACUAGACGGCAAUGGGCUCCUAACGGGGCUUAAGAUAUAGUCGAACCCCUCAGAGAUGAGGA